rnacentral:rRNA from 1 species
UAAGGAAUAUUGGACAAUGGAGGCAACUCUGAUCCAGCCAUGCCGCGUGAAGGAAUAAGGCCCUAUGGGUUGUAAACUUCUUUUAGACGGGACAAAACCCCUUUACGUGUAAAGGGUUGAUGGUACUGUCAGAAUAAGCAUCGGCUAACUUCGUGCCAGCAGCCGCGGUAAUACGCAGGAUGCAAGCGUUAUCAGGAUUCACUGGGUUUAAAGGGUGCGUAGGUGGGCAGAUAAGUCAGUGGUGAAAUCUUCCGGCUUAACCGGGGAACUGCCGUUGAUACUAUUUGUCUUGAAUAUUGCGGAGGUAAGCGGAAUAUGUCAUGUAGCGGUGAAAUGCUUAGAUAUGACAUUGAACACCAAUUGCGAAGGCAGCUUACUACACAAUCAUUGACACUGAGGCACGAAAGCGUGGGUAGCGAACA